GACGAACGCUGGCGGCGUGCUUAACACAUGCAAGUCGAACGGAAAGGCCCUGCUUUUGUGGGGUGCUCGAGUGGCGAACGGGUGAGUAACACGUGAGUAACCUGCCCUUGACUUUGGGAUAACUUCAGGAAACUGGGGCUAAUACCGGAUAGGAGCUCCUGCUGCAUGGUGGGGGUUGGAAAGUUUCGGCGGUUGGGGAUGGACUCGCGGCUUAUCAGCUUGUUGGUGGGGUAGUGGCUUGCCAAGGCUUUGACGGGUAGCCGGCCUGAGAGGGUGACCGGCCACAUUGGGACUGAGAUACGGCCCAGACUCCUACGGGAGGCAGCAGUGGGGAAUAUUGCACAAUGGGCGGAAGCCUGAUGCAGCAACGCCGCGUGCGGGAGGACGGCCUUCGGGUGGUAAACCGCUUUCGCCUGUGACGAAGCGUGAGUGACGGUAAUGGGGAAAGAAGCACCGGCGAACUACGU
rnacentral:rRNA from 1 species